AAGGUAGCAAAUUUCCUUGUCGUUUAAGUAACGACCUGCAUGAAAGAUGGAACGAUUCGAUAGCUGUCUUGCGUACAUGUGCUGGUGAAAUGUUAGGUAGUGUGAAGAUACGGUAACAACGUUAUGGGACAAAAAGACCCUGUGAAGCUUUAUAGGGAUAGAAUUUAGUACGGGUUCAAUAUUGGUAUAUCUUCAUGCUAUGCAUCUUCAUUACAAGGAAAAACAGUGAGAUACCAUUCA
rnacentral:rRNA from 1 species